GCCCGGGUGGCGGAAUGGCAAACGCACGCGCCUCAAGAGCGCGCGACGCAAGUCUUGUGGGUUCGAGUCCCACCCCGGGCA
rnacentral:tRNA from 1 species